UACGGGGGGAGCAAGCGUUGUUCGGAUUUACUGGGCGUAAAGGGCGCGUAGGCGGUAGCACAAGUCAGUUGUGAAAUCUCCGGGCUUAACUCGGAAAGGUCAACUGAUACUGUGCGACUAGAGUGCAGAAGGGGCAACUGGAAUUCUCGGUGUAGCGGUGAAAUGCGUAGAUAUCGAGAGGAACACCUGCGGCGAAGGCGGGUUGCUGGGCUGACACUGACGCUGAGGCACGAAAGCGUGGGUAGCAAACAGG
rnacentral:rRNA from 1 species